rnacentral:rRNA from 1 species
AGAGCGUAGGGUGAAUAGCUAGGCACCAAGAGCCGAAGAAGGACGUGAUAAGCUGCGAAAAGCUUUGGGUAGGAGCAAAUAUCCAUUAAUCCAGAGAUAUCCGAAUGAGGGAACUCACUUAGAGCAAACAAUCUAAGUAUCCAUAUAUGAGUAAAGUAGUAUAUGAGAAGGGAACGUGGGGAACUGAAACAUCUUAGUACCCACAGGAAAAGAAAGAGAAAUCGAUUCCUAGAGUAGUGGCGAGCGAAAUAGGAAGAGCCUAAACCAUGAGUAGUAAUACACAUGGGGUUCGGACCACGAUAUAUUAUCAAUAAUUCUAAUAGAAAUGUUUUGGAAAAGCAUACCAUAGACGGUGAAAGUCCAGUAUAUGAAAGAAAAGUUGAGAUUAGUGGUAUCCAGAGUAGUACGAGACACGAGAAAUCUCGUAUGAAUAAGCGGGGACCAUCCCGUAAGGCUAAAUACUACUUGGUGACCGAUAGUGAACUAGUACCGUGAGGGAAAGGUGAAAAGAACCCCGGGAGGGGAGUGAAAUAGAACAUGAAACCCUAUGUUUACAAGCAGACAAAGCACUUUAUAUGUGCGAUGUCGUACUUUUUGUAGAACGGUCCAGCGAGUUAUUGUGUAUGGCGAGGUUAAGUAUUACGUAAGGUACGGAGCCGAAGCGAAAGCGAGUCUGAAAAGGGCGAUAUAAGUCAUGCAUAAUAGACCCGAAACUGAGUGACCUAUCCAUGAGCAGGAUGAAGCUAGAGUAAAAUCUAGUGGAGGUCCGAACUGAUUGUCGUUAAAAAGGCACCGGAUGACUUGUGGAUAGCGGAGAAAUUCCAAUCGAACUCAGAGAUAGCUGGUUCUCCUCGAAAUAGCUUUAGGGCUAGCCUUGAGGGAAUGCAUAUGGGGGUAGAGCACUGAAUGAGGUAGGGGCCUAACCAGGUUACCAAACUCUAUCAAACUCCGAAUACCAUAUGUAAAUACUCAGGAGUCAGACUGCGGGAGCUAAGUUCCGUGGUCAAAAGGAAAACAGUCCAGAUCGUCAAUUAAGGUCCCAAAGAUAUAGCUAAGUGGAAAACGAUGUGAUUUUGCAUAAACAACCAGGAUGUUGGCUCAGAAGCAGCCAUUCAUUCAAAGAGUGCGUAAUAGCUCACUGGUCGAGUGAAGUUGCGCGGAAAAUUACCGGGGCUAAGCUAUACACCGAAAUUGCGGAUUUACAUUUGAAAGACAAUGUAAGUGGUAGAGGAGCAUUCUGUAGUAGGAAGAAGCAUGACCGUAAGGACAUGUGGACGAAGCAGAAGAGAGAAUGCUGGAAUAAGUAGCGAGAGGAUGGUGAGAAUCCAUCCCGUCGAAAAUCUAAGGUUUCCCAGGGAAGGUUCGUCCGCCUGGGGUAAGUCGGGACCUAAGGAGAGGCCGAAAGGCGUAUCUGAUGGAUAGCAGGUUGAAAUUCCUGCACUACGAAUAUACUUAAAAGAUUCAAGGGACGCAGAAGUGGAAGAUAACCAAGUAAGAGGAAAAGCUUGGCUCGCAAGAGGGAGUGAAAAUUAAAAGUAACGAAGUAUCAAGAAGCACGCUGACGAGAAAAGCUUGAAGAUAUUGUAUAUAAGUACCCGUACCGCAAACCGACACAGGUAGAUGAGGAGAGGAUCCUAAGACGAGCGGGAGAAGCAUUGUUAAGGAACUCGGCAAAUUAACCCCGUAACUUCGGAAUAAGGGGUGCUGAUGUAACAGUCAGUCGCAGAGAAAAGGCCCAAGCAACUGUUUAACAAAAACAUAGGUUUCUGCUAAAUCGAAAGAUGAAGUAUAGGAGCUGACGCCUGCCCAGUGCUGGAAGGUUAAGGGAAAGAGUUAGGGUUAAACCGAAGCUUAGAACUGAAGCCCCAGUGAACGGCGGCCGUAACUAUAACGGUCCUAAGGUAGCGAAAUUCCUUGUCAGGUAAGUUCUGACCCGCACGAAAGGCGUAAUGAUUUGGGCGCUGUCUCGACAAUGUCCCCGGCGAAAUUGUAGUACUAGUGAAGAUGCUAGUUACCUGCGAUAAGACAGAAAGACCCCAUGGAGCUUUACUGCAGUUUGAUACUGGGUUUCGAUGAUUUAUGUACAGGAUAGUUGGGAGACUAUGAAAGAGAGGCGUCAGCUUCUCCGGAGUCAUUGUUGGGAUACCAACCUUAAGUUAUUGAAAUUCUAACUUGUAAUCGUAAACCGGUUAGAGGACAAUGUCAGACGGGCAGUUUGACUGGGGCGGUCGCCUCCUAAAGAGUAACGGAGGCGCCCAAAGGUU